AACGAACGCUGGCGGCAUGCCUAACACAUGCAAGUCGAACGAGACCUUCGGGUCUAGUGGCGCACGGGUGCGUAACGCGUGGGAACCUGCCCUUAGGUUCGGAAUAACUCCCCGAAAGGGGUGCUAAUACCGGAUAAUGUCUUCGGACCAAAGGUUUAUCGCCUUUGGAUGGGCCCGCGUUGGAUUAGCUAGUUGGUAGGGUAAAAGCCUACCAAGGCGACGAUCCAUAGCUGGUCGGAGAGGAUGAUCAGCCACACUGGGACUGAGACACGGCCCAGACUCCUACGGGAGGCAGCAGUGGAGAAUAUUGGAGAAGGGGCGAAAGCCUGAUCCAGCAAUGCCGCGUGAGAGAUGAAGGCCUUAGGGUUGUAAAGCUCUUUUACCCGGGAUGAUAAUGACAGUACCGGGAGAAUAAGCUCCGGCUAACUCCGUG
rnacentral:rRNA from 1 species